AGUGAACGCUGGCGGUAGGCUUAACACAUGCAAGUCGAACGGCAGCACAGUAAUAGCUUGCUCUUACGGGUUGCGAGUGGCGUACGGGUGAGGAAUACAGCGGAAUCUACUUUUUCGGGGGGGUUAACGGAGGUAAACUUACGCUAAUAUCGCAUACGACGCACGGGUGAAAGCAGGGGAUCUUCGGAGCCUGCGCGAUUGAAUGAGCCGAUGUCGGAUUAGCUAGUUGGGGGGGUAAAGGCCCACCAAGGCGACGAUCCGAAGCUGGUCUGAGAGGAUGAUCCGACACACUGGAAGUGAGACAGGGCCCACACUCCUGCGGGAGGCCGCAGUGGGGAAUCUUGGACAAUGGGGGCAAGCCUGAUACAGCCAUACCGCGUGGGUGAAGAAGGCGUUCGGGUUGUAAAGCCAUUUUGUUGGGCAAGAAAAGCAGCAGGUUCAUACGCCGCUGUUGUGACGGUACCCAAAGAAGAAGCACCGGCUAACUUCGUG
rnacentral:rRNA from 1 species